UACGUAGGGGCCGAGUGUUGUCCGGAGUUAUUGGGCGUAAAGCGCGCGCAGGCGGCCUCGCGCGCCCGACGUGAAAGCCCCCGGCUUAACCGGGGAGGGUCGUUGGGGACGGCGGGGCUUGAGGGCGGGAGAGGUCGGUGGAAUUCCCGGUGUAGUGGUGAAAUGCGUAGAGAUCGGGAGGAACACCUGUGGCGAAGGCGGCCGACUGGGCCGACCCUGACGCUGAGGCGCGAAGGCGUGGGGAGCGAACGGG
rnacentral:rRNA from 1 species